GAGGCUGGGGCAGCGGCCAGAACCCCAGAGGCCGAGACGGCGGUUACCGGGUAGAGGUAGAGCACCGCUGCCACCAACGUCAGCAGGAAGGAUCCCAUGAUUCUGCUUCUGAGUUCACACUCCAAGGAACUGAAAGUCUGGACUCAAACAGAUACCUGCACACCACUGUUCCAGGAGCGUCAUUCCCAAUAACAGGAAGGGGCAAACAACCAAAAUGUCCAUUGAUGCACACAGCUGUUGCUGUGCCUGAGCAAAGUGGUUCCUCCAUGGCUGGCCUUCCCCAAGAGGCAUCUCACGUCUAUGGUUCAUUGGGUUCCUCUGAAAUGGGCAUUGUUCGAGGGACAAGGUUGCCCGUGAGGACAGGAGCCCUGGAAAGGUAAGUGGGAACAGUACGGGUGCACAGGGUGUGCAUCUAUUCCGCCUCCUGCCCCCACCCUCCCAGCGUUGAGUUUCUGGGCUCCAGAAAGCUAACUGCACAACCUUGCCUUGCUCACCAGACUAGGCUGUUUUGUGCCCCGGGGUUUUGCCUGUGAUGGGCCUUUUACCAGAAAUGCCCUUGCCCCCCGA